rnacentral:rRNA from 1 species
GAUGAACGCUAGCGGGAGGCUUAACACAUGCAAGUCGUGGGGCAGCACGGGGUAGCAAUAUCCUGGUGGCGACCGGCGCACGGGUGAGUAACGCGUAUGCAACCUACCCAGUACAGGGGGAUAGCCCGGGGAAAUUCGGAUUAAUACCCCAUAAUGAUAUUAAGAGGCAUCUUUUUAUAUUUAAAGCUACGGCGGUACUGGAUGGGCAUGCGUAAGAUUAGCUAGUUGGUAGGGUAACGGCCUACCAAGGCUCCGAUCUUUAGGGGUCCUGAGAGGGUGAUCCCCCACACUGGUACUGAGACACGGACCAGACUCCUACGGGAGGCAGCAGUGAGGAAUAUUGGUCAAUGGGCGCAAGCCUGAACCAGCCAUCCCGCGUGAAGGAAGAAUGCGCUAUGCGUUGUAAACUUCUUUUCCGGAGGAAUAAAAUCUUGUACGUGUACAGGACUGAAGGUACUCCGGGAAUAAGCAUCGGCUAACUCCGUGCCAGCCGCCGCUGUAACAC